UACCAGUUUCAUCUCUCUUCAUCUCUUUCUCUCUCGUCAUUUCUUUCCGGUUCUUACCCCUUUCUUGCAUUCAGCGGGGGGCGGAAUCUUCUGUCGCCGCGGCUGUUGUUCCAUUGAGAUCGUGCGAGUGUUCCGGGUGUCGAGGCACCAGAGCUGAUAGAACUGCCAAAAGGAAAAGAUAGUGGGAUCGCUCACAUCGAAAUCGAGGUCUCCAGAUCUACCAUGUUGAUGCAACGAACGCUAGGAUUAUACUCUGUUUUUCUGAAGAAACAGGCUCUAAACUGACGAUUCUUGUUGGUCAUAUCUUCAAGUUUGUUUUGCGAUAAAUCUCAGCAAUGUUCUUGGUGUCUACAUCAGAUUCUAACUCAGACCCCCAAACGGCAAACAUGUCAAGAAUGGCGUUUUAUUCAUGGACACGCCGAAGGAGGAAAUGGGUGGAUACUUUGUUUUUGUUGUUGGAGUGGCUUCGGUUCGGCUUUCUUCAUCAGAUCAUAAUUGUCUACUCAGCCGAGUAGACAGCCCAUUACAUGAAGUAGAGAUUCUACGUAAGAACAAGGUGGAGCUCCCUGAUUAAGGAUAUUAGGUUAUCAGGAAAAGAUAUUGGAAGGGCUCACAUCAAAAUUGAGAUCCGUAGAUCUUCCACGUCAAUGCACCAAUUCUUAAAUUAUACUCUCUCUCCCAAAGUGCAGACAUUGUUUUUCUGAAGAAACAAGCUCUAACCUGAUGAUUCUGGUAUGUCAUAUCUUCAAGUUUGUUUGGCGAGAAAUCUCAGCACGCAAGGUGAACAAUCAGUGAUCCAAAGAUGAAUUCGGCUGAAGAGAGGUUACUUAUCAUCUUUCAGGUGAUGAAAAUUCAAUUGAAGAUUGUUAUACAGUUUUUCAACUCAUCUGAGCUUACAACCCAAAUAGAAAGUGAGCGUCUCCAUGGAAGACAAAAUAUAAAAUUUUUGCACUGGUUUGGUGUUUUUAUGCAUUGGAUUGCAGAAGACAUGUGUCCUCAAGUAUGAUUAGAGGAGAAAUCUCAAGCGAACGUCAGCAUACUGGCGAUGAGGUACGUGGUCAGUCAAGGGCCAGUAGCUUAAACAAAUGGUUUGUUGAAGCUCAUGGUUUUGAUGAACUUAAUGGAAUAUCUGGCAAUUUACUCACACAAAAGGGGUACUUAUCCAUUCUUCUUUUAGGUUUGACAAAAUGGAAUAGAAGAUUGUACAGUUGCUAAAAAAGGCUUAGUUAUCAACCCAAAGGAAGACAUUGUUUUCUUGAAGAAACAAUCUCUAAACUGAUGAUUCUGGUUGGUCAUAUCUUCAAGUUUGUUUGGCGAGAAGUCUCAGCAUGCAAGGUGAACAAACAGUGAUCCAAAGAUUAAUUCGGCUGAAGAGAGGUUACUUAUCAUCUUUCAGAUUGUUAUACAGUUUUCCAACUCAUCUGGGCUUACAACCCAAAUAGAAAGUGAGCCUUUUUAUGGAAUACAUGAGGCAAAACUUUUGCACUGCUUUGGGGUUUUUAUGCAUUGGAUUGCAGAAGACAUGUGUCCUCAAGUAUGAUUUGAGGAGAAAUCUCAGGCGAACAUUGGCAUACUGGCGAUGAGGUACGUGGUCCAUCAAGGAACAAGAGCUUAAGCAAAUGGUUUUAUCGAAGUUCAUGGUUUUGAUGAACUUAAUGGAAUAUCUGGCAAUUUACUCACACAAAAAGGGGUUUGACAAAAUGGAAUAGCAGAUUGUACAAUUGCUCAAAAAGGUUUAUUUGUCAACCCAAAAAAAGGUAUAAACAAUGUUACACACAAGUGAAUACAUGACUAAAUUGAGCGUAUUGUUUGCACCAGAUUGUGUUGCAUUGUUCCCAAAUCAUUCUCGGCUUUGAACAGGAUUACAGAAAGGAUUGCAGAAGACAUGUGUCCUCAAGUAUGAUUAGAGGAGAAAUCUCAGGCGAACGUCAGCGUACUGGCGAUGAGGUACGUGGUCAGUCAAGGGCCAAUAGCUUAAACAAAUGGUUUGUUGAAGCUCAUGGUUUUGAUGAACUUAAUGGAAUAUCUAGCAAUUUACUCACACAAAAAGGGGUACUUAUCCAUUCUUCUUUUAGGUUUGACAAAAUGGAAUAGAAGAUUGUACAGUUGCUAAAAAAGGCUUAGUUAUCAACCCAAAGGAAGACAGCCCAUCACAUGAAGUAGAGGUUCAACGUAAGAACAAGGUGGAGCUGUCUGACUAAGGAAAUUAGGUUAUCAGGGUCAUAGUCAACAUUCAUGGGAGAGCUGAUAGAACUGCUGACCUCAAAGACAAUGGCAAUAAGGAAAAGAUCUUGGAAGGGUUCACAUCAAAAUUGAGAUCCCUAGAUCUUCCAUGUUAAUGUACCAAUUCUUGAAUUGCAGACAUUGUUUUCUUGAAGAAACAAUCUCUAAACCGAUGAUUCUGGUUGGUCAUAUCUUCAAGUUUGUUUGGCGAGAAGUCUCAGCAUGCAAGGUGAACAAACAGUGAUCCAAAGAUUAAUUCGGCUGAAGAGAGGUGAUGAAAACUGAAUUGAAGAUUGUUAUACAGUUGUCCAACUCAUCUGGGCUUACAACCCAAAUAGAAAGUGAGCUUUUCCAUAGAAUACAAGAGGCAAAACUUUUGCACUGCUUUGGGGUUUUUAUUCAUUGGAUUGCAGAAGACAUGUGUCCUCAAGUAUGAUUUGAGGAGAAAUCUCAGGCGAACAUUGGCGUACUGACGAUGAGGUACGUGGUCCAUCAAGGAACAAGAGCUUAAACAAAUGGUUUUAUCGAAGUUCAUGGUUUUGAUGAACUUAAUGGAAUAUCUGGCAAUUUACUCACACAAAAAGGGGUUUGACAAAAUGGAAUAGAAGAUUGUACAAUUGCUCAAAAAGGUUUAUUUGUCAACCCAAAGAAAGACCCCUCAUCACGUGAAGUAGAGAUUCAACGUAAGAACAAGAUGGAGCUGCCUGAGAAAGGAAGUUAGGUUAUCAGGGGUCAUAGUCGAGAGACCAUUGGAGAGCUGAUAGAACUCCUGACCUUAAAGACAAUGGCAAUAAGGAAAAGAUAUUGGAAGGGCUCACAUCAAAAUUGAGAUCUCUGGAUCUACCAUGUCAAUGCAUUGAAAGCCAUUGGAGCACAUUGGCGUACUAGAUAAGUCUUGUGAUAUGUCGAUACAUUGCUCGGACUCCUUAGGCUACAACCCAAGAAAGUGAGCCUCCGAGGUAGAACCAAGCGCCAAACUGAUAAUUCUGGUCGGCCAUGCCUUGUGUUUUGAUUAGCGGAGCUAAUCUCAGGUAUGAUGAAAACUGUACAGAAGAUCGUUUUACAAAUCUGCAAACUCGUUUGGGCUUACGACCCCAAGAGAAAGUGAAACCUCUCCAUGGAAGGGUUAAGCUUCGAUAACUGAUGACUUAAUCUGGCGAUGUUCUCGGUGUCUACGUCAGAUUCUAACUCAGACCAGCAAAUGACGAACGGAUGAAGAAUGGUGUUUAUGUCAUGGGCACGCCGAAUGAGGUAAGUAGACCUCCUCCUCAUCAUCAUCAUUCACAUUUGCAUCAUCAUCAGCAUUUGCAUCAUCCCAUGUGCAUCUGCAUCUGCAUCUGCAUGAUCAACAUUGCAUUUGCAUCAUCAUUAGCAUUAGCAUUUGCAUUUGCAUCGUCAUCAUUAGCAUUUGCAUUUGCAUCAUCAUCAUCAUUAGCAUUUGCAUCAUCAUUAGCAUUUGCAUUUGCAUCGCAUCACACCAUCAUUAAACAUCUACACCGUCCAUCAUCAGCAUCUUGACACCAUCGUAUCACUUCACAUUUCCAUCGUCGACAUCUCCAUCAUGAGCAAUAGCAUUACCACUACCACCACCACCAC